ensembl:lincRNA
CACCCACCCGCUCAGGGAAGUCCAAGGCGAUGGGUUUUACAACUCAGAGUCUGAAGGCCCUAAUAAUAAGUGGCCGGAAACUAUUUUCAUCUUUUUAAGGAGUGUCAGAAAGGAAACUGGGUCCUGUUUCUACCAAAUCAAAGACGACUGCAAGAAGGUUAAUGCGUCUUCCCGGCCCCAGAGUCUCCAAAUCUGACCAGACCUGGGGAGCUCGGUUCUUCAAGACCUGCUUGAGAAGGUCUCGAACUCCAUAUGGCAACAGUUUUAACUCUCCGGGAUCCCCGCGCGGCCGGCGGAGCCCGCGGGCAGGCGCGCGGGUAACCCUCGGCCACCUCGCGGCUGCGCCACCGCGCUCCCACCCGUGCACGGCGCCCACCCGAGUCCGCCCGCGUUCUUUACUUUCUCCGGCACUCGGCCGGGCGCGGCUCCUACGCCAGAACGCGGCGAGGAAAGCGACAACCUGGCCGGAGAGAAAAUAAACUUCCUGGAAGCAUGACUCUGAGGUCCUUCUGGUCUCUGCCCCAUCCAGCGGUGAGCACUAAAGUGACAGAGACCAAGGAGUUCAUCAAUGGCACAUCCUCAUCACUGCACAUUUCUGCAUUGGCCUCACCCCACGUCACUUCCAACCAAACUAGUGCUCUUCUACAUUCAUCCAGAAUCUCCCCGUGCUUCACCUCAUCCCUGUUUUUUUUUGAAAAAGCUUAGAAAUGGGAUUUUAUGCUUCUGACUCUUAAGUCACACUCUCUUCUGCAGUCAGGGACCAAGUAUCCUGAAAGAAUUUAAUGCUUGAUUUCUGCCCAAGAUGUCCGUCAAGGAGGCGAGUAGUCGAGGGGUAAAUGAUUCCCCUAGUGCCUUUCCCUCUUUCCCAACACUCAUUUCCUCCCCCUCCCCCCUUCCCACCUGAAAGUCCAUCCUGUGAGGCAAGGCUCUGCCUCCCCCUGGCUUCCACCGUCAUCUACAGAUAUUUAUCAGUACCCAUCCGAGAACCGACCAGGUGCCACUAAUAGAGGAUGAAAGGUAUACCUUAGACAGUAGUUUUCUCUCCCCAGAUGGUACUGCAGGGCGUGUAUGGGGUGGCGAGAAGGCAUUUAGUGCCUGUGCGGCUAGACGCUGAGCACCUGCAAUGCUUGGGGCAGACUUUCCCCGCAAAGAAUUACCCUGCCAAAAAUGUCGAUAAAACCGCUCCAGAAACACUGCCUUAGACCAAAGCCCCGCCAUCCAGUAGGAAAGAUGAGGUCCAGUCAUGUGAAGAUUUGACCCAGACCUCUAUGAGGUAGUAAAUUAAGCAGGAAUUUAGGGCAAUGGCAGUGAGAGCUGAGUAAGGCAUUGUAGGCAAGAAGUACGUGUGUGGGAAGACACCGCGGGACACGCUCGUGCGCCUGAAGGGCCGUGAGUGGACAGCACAUCUGGUUAGCCCAAAGGACAACCCCCUAAUGCUGAGGUUCCUAGCAGGUGGAGGCGAUGUUUGUAGUCAUGGGCUUUGCUCAACAUCCACUAACCCCACCUUUCAGAAUGCAGGUCUGGCCACACCACUCUGCACACCUAAAAUCCUUCUUUGGCUUCUCUUCCCUCUUAGGAUAAAGGUUAAAAUCUUUCAUAUGUCUUUUAAAUAAUAUGACCACGUAUCACAGUUUGCCUGAGUCAGCCCCCUUUUAUGCCUACUGUCCAGUGUUAUUACUAGUGUCCCUUGCUUUCUCAGAAAUGUCCUGGUUUGGGCAUAUUUUAUGAUGACCUUGCUUUUAAUGCCAUAUACCAUCUGACUUCUACUUAACUUUCAACACUUUCUCUCACCACUUUCCUUCACUUUGCACCCAAGGUCUUAGCCAUACUUUUCCCUCUGACCUGAAGAGCAUGCCCUCCGCACGACACACAGGCCUCCAGUUAACCGUUCUCACAUUCUUCCCAUCUUAGCUCAGAUGUAUUGCCUCAGGAAAGCCUGCCUGACCCCCUAGUCUCAGAAAGCAUCUUGUUUUUCCUUGCUGAGGGAAAACUAAGCUCUCAGCUGUAGUGAGUGUUAAGCAGAGUUUACUGCUAGGCAAGGCCAGAAAACCUCACUCAAUACAGAGGUGUAAGCGUGUGGGAUGGAGCCAGAAUAAUCAUCAAAGAUUAUUUGCUCAGAGACUAUUAUUUUAAAGCCCUGAGGAUCGACUUGUAUAUAGGUGUUAUAGAAGGAGCAGCGCCUUCCUAUCCCAUCUCUCAAACCAAAGGCAAGGAUGGGACUUACAAAGGCAAAAGCCACCAUGUUCAAAAGGAAUGACUGACCAUUUAAACAAAUUCUUGAUUUUUCAGUUCAGCGUUUACAUUGCUAGUAUUUUAUGUUAAUCAUAAAAUCUUCAGCUGGAAGAAAAGAGGGUGUUUGAUGUUCCCUUCUCUGUGUUUUGCAGACUUUUAAAAACCCAUGGACUUUAGGGUGGGCCCUUGGCUGCACCCAAAGUCUGUCUGAUUUUUAGAAACUAUGGGGACCCAUCAAGUCUGUUAUACUGAAUCCAGAUAGUACAGUUGAGUCACAGACCACAAACAGUCACAGUUUCACCGUCAAACCUAUUUUAUUAUGGAUUCUGACCAUUUUUUCCCCCAAGAAUUUGCACAAUUCUCUUCCUCUGAGACCCUGACUGCUUGCUAUCACACAAUUUCUCAUAGCCACUGGGCUCAGGCUCUUUAAAUUCUGAUUUAUGGAAACUUUUCAUCACCCUUUGUAGAACUGUUUUGUUUUUGUGAUACUUUUCUUAAUUUGGUUAUUAUAUAUUUAGAGAAAUUAUUUAAUACCACAAAAUGUUUUCCUCACAAUUAUAUUUCUGGAGAACAGCAUUGUACCUAGUAUGUAGUAUGUAUUCGCUAAAUAUUUGUUGACUGCACAAAUAAAUGAAUGAAUGAAAUGACCUUUGAUUCUAAUUAUUCUGAGCUUGACACUAUCUGGGAGUCUUUACUGCCUCAAAUCCCAUAGCAAACAAUACUAGUUGCCUACCCAAUACCAUCCUUCCCUUUUACCUGAAUAACAUAACUUUGGUUUUAUUUGCGGCCACAAUGUGCCCAAUACUUCCCAGCUUACGUUGUAGCUAGCAAUAGCCAUGUAGUAGUUCUGGCCAAUGACACUACCAUUUAACCCAGAGAGAGUUCUGGGAAAGUGUUACUUUCCCUCCUUGUUAGCUCUUUUUCCUACCUGGAAAGCAAACAUGGGAUUAGAAGUGGAAUAACCAUCUUGCCACCAUGAGGACAUGAGGCAGCUGGAAGGAGUCUGGGUCCAUUGGCAUUGUUGAAUUGCUGAACCUGCUCUAGACUGCCUACCUCUUAACUUUAUUUCCUGAGAAGAAUAGAAUCCUAUUUGGUUAAAUCACUAAUACUGGGUUUCUGUUAUAGCAGCCAAACUCAAUCCUGACUGAUACAAGUGAAUUAAAACUAGAGAGUAAAACUUAGGAAGCAACAGGCAGUUUCACUAUGCAAACUUGUUCCUUUUCUUUUUUAUUGUUCAUACUUUGUCUCUUCAACUUUGCAAAAGACAUCUAAUACCUUUUGUUUUGGUUGAGAAGGUGGACUGUACUCAAUAAAAAAGUAAAUGGAAAAUAAAAUCAAAGAGGGGCACUUUGUAAAUCAGAAAAACAUUAUUUUCCCUCCCACACACACAGCAAGAUGGCACAGCACUUUCUGAAAUGGUCUGUGAUUAUGAAGCCUAAUGGAAAUGCACUCCUCUGCCACAAUCAUCUACUUCCAUCACAUGGAACAACUUCAGUUUAUCUAGUUCCCCCAAAUUGGUUCCCACACUAUAGAGUUGUGUCAGAAAGGAACACUGAGGAAAAAAUGGAUUUUUAAAAGUCUACAACAUACAGACAAGAAAAGAUCAAUUACUCUCUUUUCUUCUAGUGGAAGAUUUUAUGAUUAACCUAAAACACCAGCAAUAUUUUAAAAAAAGAAAACUAAUAGUUCUUUCUUUGGUUUUUCAAUCUUAAGUAUUAGCUGAGUAUUAUCUAUCAUUUCCUGAAAGAGUCUGACUUCUUUCUCUAUAGUCACACCAAUUUAUAAUGUUUUUCAUAAGUUUCAUUAUAUAGACAUUUCAGAACAGAAAUACCAUACAAAGAAAUGUUUUUUGAAAGAGAUCUGGCCAAGGAGUGAGAAAAUCUGGGUUCUCUUUCUGUUUCAUAAUUUGGGAAAACUUCACUGAUGCUCACUUUUCUUAUGGAAAUAAAAUGAAAAUUAAAAUGAUUGAUGACUACUUCAUAAUGUGAUUGAGAGGAUUGAGUAAGAUGAUGUAUGAAAAAAUACUUCCUAACCUCCAUGC